UCAGAAUAAGUUGCAUUUACCAUUAAUCUUUCUUUAUGUACCUGGUUAAGGGUCUAUAGUACAGUUUUGAAGUUAUAUUAUAUGAAUGCUUUGCUUGAAUGGAAAACAUCUUGUCAAAAAGAUCAUUAUAUUUGACUGAAAGUUUCUCUUCUUGCAGGUAGAUGCAUCUGUUGAUGGGUUUCUCCAGUCUCUAGGCCUUGAAAAGUAUCUGAUUACAUUUAAGGCAGAGGAAGUUGGUAUGACAACCCUUUAGCAUAUGACUGACGAGUACCUUAAAGCAAUCGGAAUACCAAUGGGUCCAAGAAAGAAGAUAUUGUUAGCAUUGAGUUCAAGAGGUUGAAUCAGGGAGUGAAGCAGAUGAUUAAUUUUUACCAAUGUUGCCUUGUAUAUAUUGCGAUAAAAUAAAAACUUACUCUGUAUUAAAAACAUGUUUAUUUUUUCA